GGUUUUCCCUGCCUGUCGGGUAGCCUUGAGUUAAACUAAUAGACAGUAUAAGCAUGUAGAGCCGAUGGCAGAGGACUGGCGGACGCGGGUUCGAUUCCCGCCGCCUCCACCA
rnacentral:tmRNA from 1 species